CCUACGGGGGGCAGCAGUGAGGAAUAUUGGUCAAUGGACGAGAGUCUGAACCAGCGAAGUAGCGUGAAGGAUGACUGCCCUAUGGGUUGUAAACUUCUUUUAUAUGGGAGUAAAAUGUUCAACGUGUGGGAUUUUGUAUGUACCAUAUGAAUAAGGAUCGGCUAACUCCGUGCCAGCAGCCGCGGUAAGACGGAGGAUCCGAGCGUUAUCCGGAUUUAUUGGGUUUAAAGGGGGCGUAGGUGGAUUGUUAAGUCAGUUGUGAAAGUUUGGGGCUCAACCGGAAAAUUGCAGUUGAAACUGGCAGUCUUGAGUACAGUAGAGGUAGGCGGAAUUCAUGGUGUAGCGGUGAAAGGCUUAGAUAUCACGAAGAACUCCGAUUGCGAAGGCAGCUCACUGGACUGCAACUGACACUGAGGCUCGAAAGUGUGGGUAUCAAACAGGAUUAGAUACCCCUGUAGUC
rnacentral:rRNA from 1 species